AGAAUCAACGCUGGCGGCGUGCCUAACACAUGCAAGUCGAACGCGAAAGUGGAGCAAUCCAUGAGUAGAGUGGCAGACGGGUGAGUAACGCGUGGGCGACCUACCUUCGAGUGGGGGAUAACAUUCCGAAAGGAGUGCUAAUACCGCAUGACAUCCCGUGUUUGGAUACACGGACAUCAAAGCCGGGAUCGCAAGACCUGGCGCUUGGAGAGGGCCCGCGUCCGAUUAGCUAGUUGGCGAGGUAACGGCUCACCAAGGCUUCGAUCGGUAUCCGGCCUGAGAGGGCGACGGACACGACGUGGGACUGAGACACGGCCAGCUCCUACGGGAGCAGCAGUGGGGAAUUGUCGCAAUGGGCGCGAAGCUGACGACGCAACGCCGCGUGGAGAUAGAAGAUUUCGAUCGUAAACUCUUCGACCGAGAUGUAAUCCCGACCGUAACCUAAGUACGU
rnacentral:rRNA from 1 species